rnacentral:lncRNA from 1 species
GUUGAUAUUUUAUAUUGCUGUUGUUUCAAUAAUUGUCAUUACACAGUAUUUUUCAUUAUCGAAGCAAUAAUUCAUAUUAUCUGAAUAAUAUUAUUAGAUAACAUUAUUGGCAAUGUCUAGAAAGUUCUGUCUAAGGAGAGGUUUGGUCACCUAAUUGCGCGCCAAUAAGGAGAAAUUCUUAUUGGAAAGCCCCCUCUUUCCUGGGAACUUCCUGGUUGUCAAUAUUG